AAAUUGACACCGUAACUUCGGGAGAAGGUGUGCCGCUGGCGGUUAGUGACUUCGCGUCACGAAGCUGUCGGUGGUCGCAGUGAAAUGGCGGUUGUGACUGUUUACUAAAAACACAGGACUCUGCGAAGUCGUAAGACGACGUAUAGGGUCUGAUGCCUGCCCGGUGCUGGAAGGUUAAGGGGAUAUGUCAGCGCAAGCGAAGCAUUGAACCGAAGCCCCAGUAAACGGCGGCCGUAACAAUAACGGUCCUAAGGUAGCGAAAUUCCUUGUCGGGUAAGUUCCGACCUGCACGAAGGGCAUAACAACAUCCGCACUGUCUCGACCAGGGACUCAGCGAAAUUACAUUGGGGGUGAAGAUGCCCUCUACCCGCGGAAAGACGGAAAGACCCCAUGAACCUUUACUGCAACUUGGCAGUGAUUUUCGGGUUGUUCUGCGUAGCAUAGGUGGGAGGCUUUGUAGCCGGGCUUCCGGGUUCGGCAGAGCCAACGUUGAAAUACCACCCUGAAUAAUCUGGAAAUCUAACCUGCGCCCAUGAUCUGGGCGAGGGACACUGCCUGGUGGGCAGUUUGACUGGGGCGGUCGCCUCCUAAAUUGUAACGGAGGCGUGCGACGGUUCCCUCAGGCUGAUUGGAAACCAGCCGUAGAGUGCAAACGCAUAAGGGAGCUUUACUGCGAGACUGACAAUCGAACAGUUGCGAAAGCAGGUGUUAGUGAUCCGGUGGUACCACAUGGAAGGGCCAUCGCUCAUCGGAUAAAAGGUACUCUGGGGAUAACAGGCUGAUCGCGCCUGAGAGUUCACAUCGGCGGCGCGGUUUGGCACCUCGAUGUCGGCUCAUCGCAUCCUGGGGCUGGAGCAGGUCCCAAGGGUUUGGCUGUUCGCCAAUUAAAGCGGUACGCGAGCUGGGUUUAAAACGUCGUGAGACAGUUUGGUCCCUAUCUUCCGUGGGCGCAGGACACUUGAGAGGAGCUAUCCAUAGUACGAGAGGACCUGGAUGGACGAACCUCUGGUGCUCCGGUUGUCACGCCAGUGGCAUAGCCGGGUAGCCAUGUUCGGAACAGAUAACCGCUGAAGGCAUAUAAGCGGGAAGCUGGCCUCAAGACUAGGUGUCCCUGACGCAAGUCACUAAAGGCCCCUCGAAGACUACGAGGUUGAUAGGCUCGGUGUGGAAGCGCUGCGAGGCGUGGAGCUAACGAGUACUAAUAGGCCGUGCGACUUGACCCC
rnacentral:rRNA from 1 species